UGCUGAUAGCAAAAUAGACAAGUUGCACGGCGUCCGCCAUGAUUGUUUACCUCUGGGAGGCACCAGCCAACGACGUGGGACCGACGCAAAACACUGCGUCAUAUCCGGGCAAGAGAAAGGAAGAGGAAACUGAGGAUCACAUGAAGUCAAACCCAGAAGGAUCUGUCCUCAGGGCCGAGAUGGCUCCACUGUGGAGGAAUGACUUUCACCUUUGGGUUGAUGCCCUUGUCAGCCAGGCAAAUGAACCUGUGUUGCAUGAGCAGUAGGUCAAGGCCAAAUGUCACGUCCUGGACAUUAUGUCCAUCAUGCACACGGGAGUUCAAUGACCCGGGCCAGCCAAAAGCAGUG
rnacentral:lncRNA from 1 species